GAAAAGAGCACAAAGAAACAACAAAGCCAAUCAAUCACUCAAUUAAUGCGUGUCACCAUUUGAUGAUACAUGAGGACUUCAUCACCAGCAGCAGUCUAUUGCUUAUUCAUGAAUUAGGAAAACCUAUUCAGCUACAUUUUCUCUUUCGAGUCCAUCCCAGUCCCGUUUGCUAACGGUGACCGACACUCCAAGAUGUCAGCGAGCCGGUGCGUCCGUGUGGGCUUUAAGUCACUGAAUACGGAAAUGAUCAUUUGUUUCAACUAUUCUACUUGCUUGUGAAUACGUUUCGGAUGUUCUAGUGUGCGUUCCAAACCUUCAGAAUGCACCGUAGGGGUCCUUCUCACUAGCGCAACUCGCAUGCAAGAAAAAGUUGUUUCAGAAAAUUCCACAUAUGGAGGAAGGUAAAAA